AAGGAAAGCAAAGAAAACAAUCAUAAGGAGCAAUAUGUUUGCUACGAGUGCAAAAUGCCAGGACACUUCAGAACUGACUGUCCUCUAUUGAAAAAGGCUCCGAAAAGAUUAAGAAAGAAAGCUAUGCUGGCUACUUAGAGUGACAGUGAUGAAUCCAGCUCUCGAGAAGAAGAACAAUAAGAAGCUGCAAAUUUGUGUCUAAUGGCACAUGAAAAUGAGGUAUGUUUGAAAACUGAAUAUGAUUUUACUUUUGAUGAACUUCAAGAUGCUUUUACUUAGCUUAUGAUUGAAUAUAAAAAGUUUAGUUUAAAAAAUAAGGAGCAGAAGAUUAAGAACCAAUCAUUGGAAAAAGAAAAUUCU
rnacentral:lncRNA from 1 species